GUUGGGUAGGGGAGCGUUCUGUAAGCCUGCGAAGGUGUACUGUGAGGUAUGCUGGAGGUAUCAGAAGUGCGAAUGCUGACAUAAGUAACGAUAAUGCGGGUGAAAAACCCGCACGCCGGAAGACCAAGGGUUCCUGUCCAACGUUAAUCGGGGCAGGGUGAGUCGACCCCUAAGGCGAGGCUGAAAAGCGUAGUCGAUGGGAAACGGGUUAAUAUUCCCGUACUGGUGGUAACUGCGAUGGGGGAACGGAGAAGGCUAGGUUGUCCGGGCGACGGUCGUCCCGGUUCAAGCAGGUAGGCAGAGUGAUUAGGCAAAUCCGGUCACUUAAUGCUGAGAUGUGAUGACGAACCACUAAGGUGGUGAAGCAAUUGAUGCCCCGCUUCCAGGAAAAGCCUCUAAGCUUCAGGUUACCAACAAUCGUACCCCAAACCGACACAGGUGGUCAGGUAGAGAAUACUCAGGCGCUUGAGAGAACUCGGGUGAAGGAACUAGGCAAAAUGGUGCCGUAACUUCGGGAGAAGGCACGCUGGCGGUAGGUAAAGUCCCUCGCGGACGGCGCUGAAGCCAGUCGAAGAUACCAGCUGGCUGCAACUGUUUAUUAAAAACACAGCACUGUGCAAACACGAAAGUGGACGUAUACGGUGUGACGCCUGCCCGGUGCUGGAAGGUUAAUUGAUGGGGUUAGCGUAAGCGAAGCUCCUGAUCGAAGCCCCAGUAAACGGCGGCCGUAACUAUAACGGUCCUAAGGUAGCGAAAUUCCUUGUCGG
rnacentral:rRNA from 1 species